UCGUAAUUGGAUAUUUAUUAUAAAAAUCCAUCAGUCCUUUGGGGAGAAAUCUACCACUUUACCAAAAUGAUCUCCAACUUCUCCAAUAUGAGACAUUAAUUUUAUUUCAUUUCAUUAACAGUCAGAGACAAGCAAUAAAUAUUGACAGUUCCUGUGAUGUCCGCUUUCCUGAAUAAAUAUUUUUUUAAAGUACAUUAAGCAAUGUGAAAUGGUUGUCCUUCCUGUUCCUGAAUUUGUUCUUCUGGCUGUCAUUAGUUGAAUCUUCACUAUGUGGUGACUCUUUAACCAGACCUCACCUUCAAGUGUGUUUGUGAAUUGUGGGCUAACUUUGCUUUGUCAUUUUGUGUCAGCCAAUUGUCUUCAAUUGACAUUCAAUCAAGCACUCUGGACUUGUUAAUAACGCCUCCAUGUGGUCCUUCUGUUAAAGGUCAAAAUACAUUUAUUAUCAAAGUAUGUAUAUUUUAUACAACCUUGAGAUUUGUCUCCCUACAGGCAGCCACAAAACAAAUAAACCCAGUAGAACCCAUUAAAAAAAAAGAAGACUGGCGAAAAUCCAAUGUGCAGAGAGAAAAAACAAAUUAUGCAAACAAUAAAAGUAAGCAAAUAGCAUUCACGAAAGUGAGUCCACAGCCAUGAGUUGCAGGCUACAGCCUCAGCUCAAUGCAGAGAUGAGUAAACAUCGUGGAGCAGUGAGCUGAACCUUGCUUCCAGCCCUGAUGCUCUGAUGUUUUCAAUCUGGCCUGGUGCUGAAAUUGUACAAACCUCGGGUUGUUCUUUAUUCUUGGAACUGGGCCCUGUCACUUCGAUACACCUUCGGGCUCAGGCCCUGCCACCUUGAAUCGGCCCCUACCAGAACUCCCCAAUUUGGCUCUGUGCUUAAAUCAAUCAGACCUCAGGUCUAAUGCAAAGCUUCAAGCAAGGUAACUGAAUCCAAGAUGCUGGGAUCGCGAUCUGAUCAGGAAACAAUCAGGAGAAGUCGGAACCAAGUCUGGUGAAAGGAGGGACCACAUGUAAUAUCAUUUAGAGCAUAGAAAAUAGAACGUUACAGCACAGUACAUGUCAUUCGGCUCACAAAGUUGUAUCAAACUAUUAACCUACUCAAAGAUCAAUCUAUCCCUUCUGUCCUCCAUAGCCUUCCAUUUUUCUAUCACCCAUGCGCCUAUCUAAGAGUCUCUUAAAUGUCUCUAAGACCAUAAGACAUAGGAGCAGAAUUUGGCCAUCUAGUGCAUCGAGUCUGUUUCGCCGUGCAAUCAAGGCUGAUCUUUUUUACCCCUCCUCAAUCCCAUUUCCUGGCCUCCUCCCCAUAACCUUUGAUGGUGUGUCCAAUCAAAAACUUAACAAGCUCUGCCUUAAAUACACCCAACGACCUGGCCUCCACAGCUGCAUGUCGCAACAAAUUCCACAAAUUCACCCACCCUUUGGCUAAAGAAAUUUCUCCGCGUCUCUGUUUUAAAUUGAUAACCCUCUAUCCUGAGGCUGUGCCCUCUUGUCCUAGACUCCCCAACCAUGGGAAACACCCUUUUCAUAUCUACUCCGUCUAAGCCUUACAACAUUUGAAAGGUUUCAAUGAAAUCCCCCUCAUCCUUCUAAAUUCCAGCGAGUACAGAUUUAGAGCCAUCAAGCAUUCCUCAUACAAUAACCUUUUCAUUCCCAGAAACAUCCCUGUGAACCACCUCUGGACCCCCUCCAAUGCCAGUACAGUACAUCUUUUCUUAAAUGAGAAGCCCAAAACUGUUCUCAAUACUCAAGGUGAGGCCUCACCAGUGCCUUAUUAAGCUGCAGCAUCACAUCCCUGUUCUUGUAUUCCAGACCUCUUGAAAUGAAUGCUGACACUGCAGUUGCCUUCCUCACCACUGACUCAACCUGCAAGAUAACCUUUAGGGUGUUCUGCACAAGGUCUCCCAAGUCCCCUUGCAUCUUGGAUUUUUGGAUUUUCUCCCUGUUUAGAAAAUAGUCUGCACAUUUAUUUCUACUACCAAAGUGCAAGACCAUGCAUUUUCCAACAUUGUAUUUCAUUUGCCACUUUCUUGCCCUUUCUCCUAAUCUGUUUAAAUCCUUCUGCAGCCUUCCUGUUUUCUCAACCCUACCUGCUCCUCCACCAAUCUUCGUAUCAUCUGCAAAUGGCGACAAAGCCAUCUAUUCCAUCAUCUAAAUCAUUGAUAUACAGCAUAAAAAGAAGCGGUCCCAACACCGGCCCCUACGGAACACCACUAGUCACUGGCAGCCAACCAGACAAGGAUCCUUUUAUUCCCACUCGUUGCCUCCUCCCAAUCAGUCAAUGUUCUAACCAUGUUAGUAACUUCCCUAUAAAACCGUGGAUUCUUAACUUGGUAGGCAGCCUCAUGUGUGGCACCUUGUCAAAGUCUUUCUGAAAGUCCAAAUACCCACCAUACACUGCAUCCUCCUUAUCAAUCCUACCUGUAAUCUCGUCAAAGAAUUCCAACAGGUUCAUCAGGCAAGAAUUUCCCUAAGGAAACCAUGCUGACUUUGUCCUUCCUGUCCUGUGUCACUAAGUACUCCAGAGCCUCAUCCUUAACAAUUGACUCCAACAUCCUCCCAACCACUGAGGUCAGGCUAACUUGUCUAUAAUUUUGAAAGAUCAUUGUUAAUGCCUCCACAAUCUCUAACGCUGUCUCUUUCAGAUGACACGUCUUUGAUCAGCCUUAUUUCGAGUGGUACUGAGACAGCCUACAGAGGAGAGGGUGACACCCUGACACAGUGACUCCUUCAAUGUCCAAAAAGCAAAAGAGCCGAUUGUGGAUUACAAGAGGAACGGAGACAGGCUCGGCCCGAUCAACACCAAUGCGCCUGCAGUUGAGAGGGGAGCCUGACGCACAAUCCUUGACAGAUUGGAGUCAGAGUCCAGUGGAAUGGAAUGCACAAUGACCAGGAACCCUUCACUGCCGUUGUGAUGUCAUCAUCUUCCACCAGCUCCACUGUUCAGAUCUUAAAUGGAUCUCUCUUUGUCUGGAACCUUCCCUUUGACCCUACCAUACACUCCUCCUGAUGGCUAAACUGCAGACAGCAUUGCUCUGGGGAUCGCAGGAACCCACGAGCCUCUCCACCUAGACAAGAAAGUACUGCCCAGUCCAUCACAGGCAAACAGCUUCCCACCAUUGAGCACAUUUACAAGGAGGGCUGCCACAAGAAAGCAGCAACUAUCAUCAAGAACCCCCACCAUCCAGACCAUGCUCUCUUCGCACUACUACUCAGGCAGGAGUUACAGAAGCCUCAGGUCCCACACCACCAGCGGACAGGAACAGUUAUGACUCUACAACCAUCAGGCUCCUGAACCAGCAUGGAUAACUUCACUUAUCUCACCUGAACUGAUUCUACAAUCUACAGAGUCACUUUUGCAAGGUCUCUACAACUCAUGUUUUCAGUAUUGUCUAUUUAUUUGCACAGUUUUUCUUAUUUUGCACAUUGGCCGUUUGUCAGUCCUUGUUGGUGCAUAGAUUUCAUAAACUCUAUUGUAUUCCUUUAUUUCCCUGUAAAUGUCUGCAAGAAAAUGAAACUCAGAGUUGUAUAUGGUGUUAUAGAAACAUAGAAAACCCACAGCACAAUACAGGCCCUUCGGCCCACAAUGCUGUACCAAACGUGUACUUACCUUAAUUACCUUGGGUUACCCAUAGCCCUCUAUUUUUCUAAGCCCUGUGUACAUAACCAGGAGUCUCUUAAAAGACCCUAUUGUAUCUGCCUCCACCACCAUCGCCAGCAGCCCAUUCCACACAUUCUCCACUUUCUGCGUAAAAAAAACUUACCCCGACUUCUCUGUACCUAUUUCCAAGCACCUUAAAACUGUGCCCUCUCGUGUUAGCCAUUUCAGCCCUGGGAAAAAGCCUCUGACUAUCCACAUGAUCUAUGCCUCUCAUCAUCUUACACACCUCUAUCAGGUCGCCUCUCAUCCUCUGUCGCUCCAAGUAGAAAAGGCCGAGUUUACUCAACCUAUUCUCAUAAGACAUGCUCCCCAAUCCAGGCAACAUCCUUGUAAAUCUCCUCUGCACCCUUUCUAUGGCUUCCACGUCCUUCCUGUAAUGAGGCGACCAGAGCUGAGCACAGUACUCCGUGAGGUCUGACCAGGGUCCUAUGAAGCUGUAAUAAGCUGCUAUAUAGCUGUUAUAUAAGUACUUUGAUAACUUACUUCAACUUUGAGCAUUUUUUUGCUCUUAUUUCAGGUUUCCAGCAUUUGCUGGGUCAGAAGCCGGAAUAAGAAGUGGGGGUGGGGAGGGGUUGUGGUCGAGGAAGGAAUAAAGGCCGGAGGGUGACAGCUGAACCCAGGUGAAUGGAAGGUGGGUGGGUGAGGGAGGGGAUCAAAUGAGAAGCUAGGAGGUGAUAGGUGGAAAAGAUAAAGGGGAGAAGAAGAAGGGAUCCGAUAGGAGAGGAGAGUGGACCAUGGGAGGAGUGGGAAGGAGGAGGGACACCGGAGUGAGGUGAUGGACAGGUGACCAUCAACUCCAUCAACCACCUAGCUCCACCUAUCACCUUCUAGCUUGUACUCCUUCCCCUCCCCCCACCUUCUCACUCUGGAUCCUUCUCCCUUCCUUUCCAGUCCCAACCCAAAAUCUCAACUACUUAUUCCCCUCCAUUGAUGCUGCUUGGCCUGCUGAGCUCCUCCAGAAGCUUGCAUGUGUUACUCUGAGUUUCCAGCACCUGCAAAACCUCUUUUGUUCAACAAUCUGCACGGUGCUGGGAAAAGAGUCAUGUCUGCAAUAAAAAAAAGUCAGUCUUUGAACACCAGAUAAAGGUAUUGAAAAUUGAGUGGAAAAGGUGUUAUUAUAUGGUGGGGCAGCAUAGACAUGGAAAUAGAGAACAAGGGUUAAAGUAAUACAGAGAGUACAGGAACGUAUGCAAGGUGUCAUGUUGAUGGACCACCCCUGUUGUGAAUUUAAUAUUUUAGUUAUAUUUGAGUACUCUUAUAAAUAUAUUAUUUCAGUAAGCAUUCUUGAUCGUUUCAAUAAUUCAUCACGGGUUAUAUGUAUAAAUACGUGACUUGCAAAAGUCAAUGCGGUACCACAUGAUAUGCGCUCACCUCACUUUAAGUAAACACGAAGUUAGACCUGCA